rnacentral:rRNA from 1 species
UACGGGGGGGGCAAGCGUUGUUCGGAAUUACUGGUCGUAAAGGGCUCGUAGGCGGCCAACUAAGUCGGAUGUGAAAUCCCCAGGCUUAACUUGGGAACUGCAUCCGAUACUGGAUGGCUUGAAUCCGGGAGAGGGAUGCGGAAUUCCAGGUGUAGCGGUGAAAUGCGUAGAUAUCUGGAGGAACACCGGUGGCGAAGGCGGCAUCCUGGACCGGCAUUGACGCUGAUGAGCGAAAGCCAGGGGAGCAAACGGG